GAGCAGGCGCGCAAUUACCCAAUCCUGACUCAGGGAGGUAGUGACAAGAAAUAACAAUAAACCGGCUUAUGCCGGUUUAAUUGGAAUGAGUACAAUUUAAACAUCUUAACGAGGAACAAUUGGAGGGCAAGUCUGGUGCCAGCAGCCGCGGUAAUUCCAGCUCCAAUAGCGUAUACUAAAGUUGUUGCAGUUAAAAAGCUCGUAGUUGGAUUUCUGUGGGGACGGAGCGGCCGGCCGCAACACGCGGUUCGAGCUAGCGCUUUCCCUACAUCCUGCCGCGAACCGUGCUACCAUUAGUUUGGUGGCGCCGGGGAUCGGCUCGAUUACUUUGAGAAAAAUAGAGUGUUCAAAGCAGGCCACACGCCUUGAAUAAGUUAGCAUGGAAUAAUAACUAAGGACUUCGGUUCUAUUUUGUUGGUGUUCGGGACUGAAGUAAUGAUUGAUAGGGACAGUUGGGGCGGUCUGUAUUCCAAAGCGAGAGGUGAAAUUCUUAGACCUUCGGAAGACAAACAGCUGCGAAAGCGUUCCGCAAGGAUGUUCCCUUUGAUCAAGAACGAAAGUUGGGGGAUCGAAGACGAUCAGAUACCGUCGUAGUCUCAACUAUAAACUAUACCAGCUAGGGAUCGGCCAACGUUAUUCUAUACCGACUUGGUCGGCACCUUAUGAGAAAUCAAAGCAUCUGGGUUCCGGGGGGAGUAUGGUCGCAAGGCUGAAACUUAAAGGAAUUGACGGAAGGGCACCACCAGCCGUGGAGCCUGUGGCUUAAUUUGACUCAACACGGGAAAACUUACCAGGUCCAGACAUAGUAAGGAUUGACAGAUUGAUAGCUCUUUCUUGAUUCUGUGGGUGGUGGUGCAUGGCCGUUCUUAGUUGGUGGAGUGAUUUGUCUGGUUAAUUCCGUUAACGAACGAGACCCCAGCCUGCUAAAUAGCGCGCGUGAGCUUUGCUCGCGGCGAGCUUCUUAGAGGGACUAUGAUGCGCGAUAGCACAUGGAAGUUUGGGGCAAUAACAGGUCUGUGAUGCCCUUAGAUGUUCUGGGCCGCACACGGGCUACACUGGCGCCUGCAACGAGCAUAUCAGCUGGCCCGAGAGGGUCUUGGCUAAUCUUUUGAACCGGCGCCGUGCUUGGGAUUGACCUUUGCAAUUGUUGGUCAUGCAACGAGGAAUGCCUUGUAAACGCGAGUCAUCAGCUCGCAUUGAAUACGUCCCUGCCCUUUGUACACACCGCCCGUCGCUCCUACCGAUGAAUGUUCCGAUGAAAUUUUCGGAGAGUGCCUGUGAACUUGGCUCUGCCUUGCGAACGGGAAGCUCAAAGUCACU
rnacentral:rRNA from 1 species